rnacentral:rRNA from 1 species
CAGCCGCCGCGGUAAUACCGGCGGCCCGAGUGGCGGUCACUAUUAUUGGGCUUAAAGCGUCCGUAGCCGGGUUGGGAAGUCCUCCGGGAAAUCUGGCCGCUUAACGGUCAGAAUGCCGGAGGAUACUCCCAGCCUAGGGAGCGGGAGAGGCCGAGGGUAUUCCCGGAGUAGGGGUGAAAUCCUAUAAUCCCGGGAGGGCCACCUGUGGCGAAGGCGCUCGGCUGGAACGCGUCCGACGGUGAGGGACGAAGGCCAGGGGAGCAAACCGGAUUAGAUACCCGGGUAGUCCUGGCUGUAAACGAUGCGGACUUUGUGUCGGACAAGCUAUGAGCUUGUCCGGUGCCGGAGGGAAACCGUUAAGUCCGCCGCCUGGGGAGUACGGCCGCAAGGCUGAAACUUAAAGGAAUUGGCGGG